ACGGAGGGUGCAAGCGUUAAUCGGAAUUACUGGGCGUAAAGGGUGAGCAGGUGGUAAAUUAAGUUAUGUGUGAAAUCUUUGAGCUUAACUUAAAAACUGCACAUAAUACUGAAUUACUAGAGUACUGUAGAGGAUAGUGGAAUUUCCGGUGUAGCGGUAAAAUGCGUAGAUAUCGGGAGGAACACCAGUGGCGAAGGCGACUAUCUGGACAGAUACUGACACUAAUACACGAAAGCGUGGGGAGCAAACAGGAUUAGAUACCCUGGUAGUCCACGCCGUAAACGAUGAGAACUUGCUGUUGGGUGCUGAAUAAGCGUCUAGUAGCGUAGCUAACGCGAUAAGUUCUCCGCCUGGGGAGUACGGCCGCAAGGUUA
rnacentral:rRNA from 1 species